rnacentral:rRNA from 1 species
UACGUAGGGUGCAAGCGUUAAUCGGAAUUACUGGGCGUAAAGGGUGCGCAGGCGGCUGUGCAAGACAGAUGUGAAAUCCCCGGGCUUAACCUGGGAACUGCAUUUGUGACUGCACGGCUAGAGUUUGUCAGAGGAGGGUGGAAUUCCGCGUGUAGCAGUGAAAUGCGUAGAUAUGCGGAAGAACACCAAUGGCGAAGGCAGCCCUCUGGGACAUGACUGACGCUCAUGCACGAAAGCGUGGGGAGCAAACAGGAUUAGAUACCCUGGUAGUCCACGCCCUAAACGAUGUCAGCUGAUUGUUCGGGAAGCAAUUCCUGGGUAACCAAGCCAACGCGUGAAGCUGACCGCCUGGGAAGUACGGUCGCAAGAUUAAA